rnacentral:rRNA from 1 species
ACUAGGAGUUUGCGAUACAAUGUAAGCUCUACAGCGAAAGCGUUAAGUAAUCCACCUGGGGAGUACGCCGGCAACGGUGAAACUCAAAGGAAUUGACGGGGGCCCGCACAAGCGGAGGAACAUGUGGUUUAAUUCGAUGAUACGCGAGGAACCUUACCCGGGCUUAAAUUGCAACUGACGGAACCGGAAACGGUUCUUUCUUCGGACAGUUGUGAAGGUGCUGCAUGGUUGUCGUCAGCUCGUGCCGUGAGGUGUCGGCUUAAGUGCCAUAACGAGCGCAACCCUUACGGGUAGUUACCAUCAGGUUAUGCUGGGGACUCUACCCGGACUGCCGUCGUAAGAUGUGAGGAAGGUGGGGAUGACGUCAAAUCAGCACGGCCCUUACGUCCGGGGCUACACACGUGUUACAAUGGGGGGUACAGAAGGCAGCUACACGGCGACGUGGUGCUAAUCCCAAAAGCCUCUCUCAGUUCGGAUUGGAGUCUGCAACCCGACUCCAUGAAGCUGGAUUCGCUAGUAAUCGCGCAUCAGCCAUGGCGCGGUGAAUACGUUCCCGGGCCUUGUACACACCGCCCGUCAAGCCAUGGAAGCCGGGAGUACCUGAAGCAUGCAACCGCAAGGAGCGUACGAAGGUAAUACCGGUAACUGGGGCUAAGUCGUAACAAGGUAGCCGUACCGGAAGGUGCGGCUG